GACGUAGGGUGCGAGCGUUGUCCGGAUUUAUUGGGCGUAAAGAGCUCGUAGGCGGUGUGUCGCGUCGGCCGUGAAAACCUGCAGCUUAACUGUGGGCUUGCGGUCGAUACGGGCAUCACUGGAGUUCGGCAGGGGAGACUGGAAUUCCUGGUGUAGCGGUGAAAUGCGCAGAUAUCAGGAGGAACACCGGUGGCGAAGGCGGGGUCUCUGGGCCGAUACUGACGCUGAGGAGCGAAAGCGUGGGGGAGCGAACAGG
rnacentral:rRNA from 1 species